ACGAACGCUGGCGGCGUGCUUAACACAUGCAAGUCGAACGGAAAGGGCCUGCUUUUGUGGGGUGCUCGAGUGGCGAACGGGUGAGUAACACGUGAGUAACCUGCCCUUGACUUUGGGAUAACUUCAGGAAACUGGGGCUAAUACCGGAUAGGAGCUCCUGCUGCAUGGUGGGGGUUGGAAAGUUUCGGCGGUUGGGGAUGGACUCGCGGCUUAUCAGCUUGUUGGUGGGGUAGUGGCUUACCAAGGCUUUGACGGGUAGCCGGCCUGAGAGGGUGACCGGCCACAUUGGGACUGAGAUACGGCCCAGACUCCUACGGGAGGCAGCAGUGGGGAAUAUUGCACAAUGGGCGGAAGCCUGAUGCAGCAACGCCGCGUGCGGGAUGACGGCCUUCGGGUUGUAAACCGCUUUCGCCUGUGACGAAGCGUGAGUGACGGUAAUGGGUAAAGAAGCACCGGCUAACUACGUG
rnacentral:rRNA from 1 species